rnacentral:rRNA from 1 species
CUACGGGAGGCAGCAGUGGGGAAUAUUGGGCAAUGGGCGCAAGCCUGAUCCAGCAAUGCCGCGUGGGUGAAGACGGCCUGCGGGUUGUAAAGCCCUUUAGGCGGGGAGGAACGGCGUCGUGCGAACAGUGCGGCGUUCUGACGGUACCCGCGGAAUAAGCACCGGCCAACUCCGUGCCAGCAGCCGCGGUAAUACGGAGGGUGCGAGCGUUAAUCGGAAUUACUGGGCGUAAAGCGUGCGUAGGCGGUUUUGUCAGUCAGCCGUGAAAGCCCCGGGCUCAACCUGGGAACGGCGGUUGAGACGGCGAAACUGGAGUGGGCUAGAGGACCGUGGAAUUCCCGGUGUAGCGGUGAAAUGCGUAGAGAUCGGGAGGAACACCGAUGGCGAAGGCAGCGGUCUGGGGCCACACUGACGCUGAGGCACGACGGCGUGGGGAGCAAACAGGAUUAGAAACCCGAGUAGUCC